UGCCUAACCCUUAUGUUCUCAUAAGGUAUGGUAAAAAAACCAGUGAAACAUAAUUAACUCUUCGUCAGAGCCGUGUUUCACUGGUCAUAAUUCGAAAGGAUUAUGGGGGCGUAAGCCCU
rnacentral:sRNA from 12 species